rnacentral:rRNA from 1 species
CACGUAGGGUGCGAGCGUUGUCCGGAAUUAUUGGGCGUAAAGGGCUCGUAGGCGGUCCGUCGCGUCGGGAGUGAAAACUCAGGGCUUAACCCUGAGCCUGCUUCCGAUACGGGCAGACUAGAGGUAUGCAGGGGAGAACGGAAUUCCUGGUGUAGCGGUGAAAUGCGCAGAUAUCAGGAGGAACACCGGUGGCGAAGGCGGUUCUCUGGGCAUUACCUGACGCUGAGGAGCGAAAGUGUGGGGAGCGAACAGG